ensembl:snRNA U2 U2 spliceosomal RNA
AUUGCUUCUUGGCCUUUUGUCUAAGAUCAACUGUAGUAUCUGUUCUUAUCAUUUUAAUAUCUGAUAUGUCCUCUAUAUGAGGGUUACAUAUUAAAUUGAUUUUUAGAACAGGGAGACGGAAUAGGGGCUUCCUCCGUCUGCUCCAUGCAUUGACCUAGUAUUGCAGUACCUCCAGGAACGGAAGGUCGCCA